rnacentral:rRNA from 1 species
UACAGAGGGUGCGAGCGUUAAUCGGAAUUACUGGGCGUAAAGCGUGCGUAGACGGUUAUUUAAGUCGGAUGUGAAAGCCCUGGGCUCAACCCAGGAAGUGCAUUCGAAACUGCCAGGCUUGAAUAUGGAAGAGGGUCGCGGAAUUCCCGGUGUAGAGGUGAAAUUCGUAGAGAUCCGGAAGAACACCGGUGGCGAAGGCGGUUGGCUGGGCCGUGGCUGACACUGAGGCGCGACAGCGUGGGGAGCAAACAGGG